AUCUACAACCAUACCACUUUGAACAUGCCUGAUCUCAUCUGGUCUUAGAAGGUGAGUGGGGUCGAGCCUGGUUGGUUAUUACUUGGAUGCAAGAAAUUGUUAAGAUU
ensembl:rRNA 5S_rRNA 5S ribosomal RNA